rnacentral:rRNA from 1 species
AACGCGUGGGUAACCUGCCCCAUACAGGGGGAUAACAGUUAGAAAUGACUGCUAAUACCGCAUAAGACCACAGCACCGCAUGGUGCAGGGGUAAAAACUCCGGUGGUAUGAGAUGGACCCGCGUCUGAUUAGGUAGUUGGUGGGGUAACGGCCUACCAAGCCGACGAUCAGUAGCCGACCUGAGAGGGUGACCGGCCACAUUGGGACUGAGACACGGCCCAAACUUCUACCGGAGGCAGCAGUGGGGAAUAUUGCACAAUGGGGGAAACCCUGAUGCAACGACCCCGCGUGAGCGAUGAAGUAUUUCGGUAUGUAAAGCUCUAUCAGCAGGGAAGAAAAUGACGGUACCUGACUAAGAAGCACCGGCUUAAUACGUGCCAGCAGCCGCGGUUAUACGUAUGGUGCAAGCGUUAUCCGGAUUUACUGGGUGUAAAGGGAGCGUAGACGGAGUGGCAAGUCUGAUGUGAAAACCCGGGGCUCAACCCCGGGACUGCAUUGGAAACUGNCAAUCUAGAGUACCGGUGAGGUAAGCGGAAUUCCUAGUGUAGCGGUGAAAUGCGUAGAUAUUAGGAGGAACACCAGUGGCGAAGGCGGCUUUACUGGACGGUAACUGACGUUGAGGCUCGAAAGCGUGGGGAGCAAACAGGAUUAGAUACCC